AGGUGCGAUCAUACCAUCACUAAUGCAUCGGAUCCCAUCAUCACCCCACUUCUAAGCGUGCUUGGGCGAGAGUAGUACUAGGAUGGAUGACCUCCUGGGAAGUCCUCAUGUUGCACCUC
rnacentral:rRNA from 2 species